CGACCUCAGAGCAGGCGAGACUACCCGCUGAAUUUAAGCAUAUUACUAAGCGGAGGAAAAGAAACUAACAAGGAUUCCCCCAGUAGCGGCGAGCGAACAGGGAAGAGUCCAGCACCGAACCCCGCAGGCUGCCGCCUGUCGUGGCAUGUGGUGUUUGGGAGGGUCCACUACCCCGACGCCUCGCGCCGAGCCCAAGUCCAACUUGAAUGAGGCCACGGCCCGUAGAGGGUGCCAGGCCCGUAGCGGCCGGUGCGAGCGUCGGCGGGACCUCUCCUUCGAGUCGGGUUGCUUGAGAGUGCAGCUCCAAGUGGGUGGUAAACUCCAUCUGAGACUAAAUAUGACCACGAGACCGAUAGCGAACAAGUACCGUGAGGGAAAGUUGAAAAGAACUUUGAAGAGAGAGUUCAAAAGUACGUGAAACCGUUCUGGGGUAAACGUGAGAAGUCCGAAAGGUCGAACGGGUGAGAUUCACGCCCAUCCGGCCACUGGCCUCCGCCCUCGGCAGAUGGGGCCGGCCGCCCGCGCGGAGCAAUCCGCGGCGGGGUCGUGUCCGGUUGCCUUUCCACUCGCCGCGGGGUGGGGCCGUUCCGGUGUGCGGUGGGCCGCACUUCUCCCCUAGUAGGACGUCGCGACCCGCUGGGUGCCGGCCUACGGCCCGGGUGCGCAGCCUGUCCUUCCGCGGGCCUCGGUUCGCGUCUGUUGGGCAGAGCCCCGGUGUCCUGGCUGGCUGCCCGGCGGUAUAUCUGGAGGAGUCGAUUCGCCCCUUUGGGCGCUCGGGCUCCCGGCAAGCGCGCGCGGUUCUUCCCGGAUGACGGACCUACCUGGCCCGGCCCCGGACCCGCGCCGCUGUUGGCUCGGGAUGCUCUCGGGCGGAAUAAUCGCUCCCGUCAGCGGCGCUUCAGCUUUGGACAAUUUCACGACCCGUCUUGAAACACGGACCAAGGAGUCUAACAUGUGCGCGAGUCAUUGGGCUGUACGAAACCUAAAGGCGUAAUGAAAGUGAAGGUCUCGCCUUGCGCGGGCCGAGGGAGGAUGGGGCUUCCCCGCCCUUCACGGGGCGGCGGCCUCCGCACUCCCGGGGCGUCUCGUCCUCAUUGCGAGGUGAGGCGCACCUAGAGCGUACACGUUGGGACCCGAAAGAUGGUGAACUAUGCCUGGCCAGGACGAAGUCAGGGGAAACCCUGAUGGAGGUCCGUAGCGAUUCUGACGUGCAAAUCGAUCGUCGGAGCUGGGUAUAGGGGCGAAAGACUAAUCGAACCAUCUAGUAGCUGGUUCCCUCCGAAGUUUCCCUCAGGAUAGCUGGUGCUCGUACGAGUCUCAUCCGGUAAAGCGAAUGAUUAGAGGCCUUGGGGCCGAAACGACCUCAACCUAUUCUCAAACUUUAAAUGGGUGAGAUCUCCGGCUUGCUUGAUAUGCUGAAGCCGCGAGCAAACGACUCGGAUCGGAGUGCCAAGUGGGCCACUUUUGGUAAGCAGAACUGGCGCUGUGGGAUGAACCAAACGCCGAGUUAAGGCGCCCGAAUCGACGCUCAUGGGAAACCAUGAAAGGCGUUGGUUGCUUAAGACAGCAGGACGGUGGCCAUGGAAGUCGGAAUCCGCUAAGGAGUGUGUAACAACUCACCUGCCGAAGCAACUAGCCCUGAAAAUGGAUGGCGCUGAAGCGUCGUGCCUAUACUCGGCCGUCAGUCUGGCAGUCAUGGCCGGUCCUUGCGGCCGGCCGCGAAGCCCUGACGAGUAGGAGGGUCGCGGCGGUGGGCGCAGAAGGGUCUGGGCGUGACCCUGCCUGGAGCCGCCGUCGGUGCAGAUCUUGGUGGUAGUAGCAAAUACUCCAGCGAGGCCCUGGAGGGCUGACGCGGAGAAGGGUUUCGUGUGAACAGCCGUUGCACACGAGUCAGUCGAUCCUAAGCCCUAGGAGAAAUCCGAUGUUGAUGGGGGCCGUCAUAGCAUGAUGCGCUUUGUGCUGGCCCCCGUUGGGCGAAAGGGAAUCCGGUUCCUAUUCCGGAACCCGGCAGCGGAACCGAUACAAGUCGGGCCCCUCUUUUAGAGAUGCUCGUCGGGGUAACCCAAAAGGACCCGGAGACGCCGUCGGGAGAUCGGGGAAGAGUUUUCUUUUCUGCAUGAGCGUUCGAGUUCCCUGGAAUCCUCUAGCAGGGAGAUAGGGUUUGGAACGCGAAGAGCACCGCAGUUGCGGCGGUGUCCCGAUCUUCCCCUCGGACCUUGAAAAUCCGGGAGAGGGCCACGUGGAGGUGUCGCGCCGGUUCGUACCCAUAUCCGCAGCAGGUCUCCAAGGUGAAGAGCCUCUAGUCGAUAGAAUAAUGUAGGUAAGGGAAGUCGGCAAAUUGGAUCCGUAACUUCGGGAUAAGGAUUGGCUCUGAGGAUCGGGGCGUGUCGGGCUUGGUCGGGAAGUGGGUCAGCGCUAACGUGCCGGGCCUGGGCGAGGUGAGUGCCGUAGGGGUGCCGGUAAGUGCGGGCGUUUAGCGCGGGCGUGGUCUGCUCUCGCCGUUGGUCGGCCUCGUGCUGGCCGGCGGUGCAGGAUGCGCGCGCCUGCGCGGCGUUCGCGCCCCGGUGCUUCAACCUGCGUGCAGGAUCCGAGCUCGGUCCCGUGCCUUGGCCUCCCACGGAUCUUCCUUGCUGCGAGGCCGCGUCCGCCUUAGCGUGCUCCUCCGGGGGCGCGCGGGUGCGCGGAUUCUCUUCGGCCGCCAUUCAACGAUCAACUCAGAACUGGCACGGACUGGGGGAAUCCGACUGUCUAAUUAAAACAAAGCAUUGCGAUGGCCCUAGCGGGUGUUGACGCAAUGUGAUUUCUGCCCAGUGCUCUGAAUGUCAACGUGAAGAAAUUCAAGCAAGCGCGGGUAAACGGCGGGAGUAACUAUGACCUCUUCACCAAGAAGCCCAUCUCCACCGCGGGCUUCAUUCGUGACCGCCUCCUCCCGCACUCAGAGCCUGUCGCUCUCGAGUGCAUAUGGGGGCCGGUCACACAUGAGGAGGUCGCCGCCGCGUUGCCGCCCAGGGGAUCAGCAGCCGGGCCGGACGGCCUUACCCCAGCGGAGUUGCGGCGCCUGCCGCACGAAGUCCUGGUGAAAGUGAUGAAUCUCUUCCUUCUGGCCCGCGCCCUUCCGGAACGCCUGCUUCGCGCGCGGACGUCCCUUCUCCCGAAAACGGCUGCACCAACAUCCCCCGCUGACUUUCGCCCCAUUACGGUCUGCUCGGUGUUGGCGCGGACCUUUCACAAGGUUCUCGCGUCACGCCUGAUGCGCGCAUGUGCUGUGGACGAACGUCAGCGGGCAUUCAUCCCUCGGGAUGGGAUGUUGGAAAAUACCUUCAUCUUGGACACUGCUCUCACCGACGCAGUUCGCUCCUGCCGCUCUGUCUUUGUGGCAUCGAUCGACGUAUCUAAGGCAUUCGAUUCGGUAGAUCAUGCUGCCCUUCGCCCCGUGCUGAAGGCGCAUGGCCUGCCGGAUUGCUUUGUCGAGUAUGUCGAGCGGUGCUACGAGGGCAGCACGACAGUGAUAGCGGACGGCGCCGGCGUGGGCGUGUCUGUGCAGCCAGCACGGGGCGUUCGCCAGGGCGAUCCCCUCUCCCCCCUCCUGUUCAACUUUGCGGUGGACUACGUUUUAGGCCAACUGCCCUCCCACAUCGGAGCUCGGAUCCUCGGUCGCAGAGUCAACGCUGCGGCCUUUGCAGAUGACGUCUUGCUGUUUGCAGCGACCCCGAGGGGCUUGCAGUCCCUCAUCGACGCAGCUACCGCAGCCCUCGCCCACCUGGGGCUGCAGAUCAACGCCCGGAAGUGUUUCACCCUCGCCUUAGUCGCGUCAGGGCGCGAGAAGAAGGUGAAGGUGGACAGCAAUGUCACCUUCACAGCAGGCAAUACCACCAUGCCUGCCCUGCGUGUGGGUGAAACCUUCCGGUACCUGGGGCUGCAAUUUUCCACGGCGGGUCGCUGUGUCUUCAAUCCACGUAGCCACCUGGUGGAGCAGCUUGACGUCAUCUCCCGAGCUCCGCUGAAGCCGCAACAGCGCCUCCACGCUCUCACCAACGUACUUCUCCCUGGCCUGUACCACGGGCUGGCCCUCAGCCGCACCCGGGUGGGUGCUUUGAAGUCGGCCGACGUUACCAUCCGGGCCGCCGUCAGGAGAUGGUUCCGCCUUCCGGCGGACACCCCCCUGGGAUACUUCCACGCUCCUGUUGCCCAGGGGGGCCUCGGCAUUCCAUCUUGCCGAUGGAUGGGUCCGACCCUCCGUCGGUCCCGUCUCCUGGCGCUGAAGAAGAUAGGGCCAGCCUGCGACGGUGCAGGCAUGGAUGAGGUGCAGCGUGAGAUCGAGGUGCUGGAGCGCCACCUAAUGUGGGAGGGCCACCUCCUCAAAUCGUCAACGCAGGUUGGGGAAAUGUGGGCGGCGCGCCUACACAUCGCCAUUGACGGUGCGGCACUGUCAUCUUCUGCCGCCGUCAGUGGCCAACAUCAGUGGGUCGCCGACACCAGUCGCCUGCUAUCUGGGCGUGAAUACAUCGACGCCCUCCGCGCCCGCAUCAACGCCUUCCCUACGAAGGCACGGCGCAGUCGCGGGCGGGAGGCGGACACCAGAUGCCGCGCGGGGUGCCAGGCCGUGGAGACCGCCAACCACGUACUUCAGGCUUGCUUUAGGACGCACGGGUCCCGGGUCAAGCGCCAUGACGCUGUAGUGCGUUAUGUCGCCCGUGGACUCGCGCAGAGGGGCUUCAAUGUCUCUGUGGAGCCCCACCUCCGAACACCUGAGGGCAUCCGCAAGCCUGACGUGGUGGCGGUCAAAGACGGCAUCGCCCGCGUGGUUGACGCCCAGAUAGUCGGAGACCACCUCCGGCUCGACUGGUGUCACUCCCAGAAGGCGGCCUACUACGACACGCCGUCCAUCCGGCGUGCCAUCUCCAACCUGCACCGUGACGUUGAGGAGGUGAUUGUGUCCACCGCGACGUUGAACUGGAGGGGUGUAUGGUCUCCAGCGUCGGCGAGGGAUCUCGCCGCCU